rnacentral:rRNA from 1 species
CUAUACAUGACUCUGCGCAUAUCAAUAAGCGGAGGAAAAGAAACUAACAAGGAUUCCCCUAGUAACGGCGAGUGAAGCGGGAAGAGCUCAAAUUUGAAAUCUUGAAGGGUUUCCCCUUACGAAUUGUAGUUUAAAGAAGUGUUUUCUGUUGAUGGUUUUGGUAAAAGUUCUUUGGAAUAGGACAUCAUAGAGGGUGAGAAUCCCGUAUUUGACCUUUACUUUCAACUUUGUGAUACACUUUCAAAGAGUCGGAUUGUUUGGGAAUGCAGUCCAAAAUGGGUGGUAAAUUUCAUCUAAAGCUAAAUAUUGGCGAGAGACCGAUAGCGAACAAGUACCGUGAGGGAAAGAUGAAAAGAACUUUGAAAAGAGAGUUAAACAGUACGUGAAAUUGUCAAAAGGGAAGCGUUUGACACCAGUGUUGUUUUUCUGAAAAUCAAUUAAAGAACUGUUUAUGCUAAGCUGUUUAGACUUUAUCAGCUAAUCUGUUUAGUUUUGAGCUUUUCUUUAAUGCACUUUUCAGUUAACAAGUCAACAUCAAUUUCUUUUGCUGUAAAAAAGCUUGAGGAAGGUGGCUUGAGAUUCGUCUUAAGUGUUUAUAGCCUCUUGCCUAUGCAGUCGGAGAGAUUGAGGUCUGCAGCGUAGAUCCUUCGGGGCUAAAUGCAUUUGUGCUAAGUUAUAGCAUUUUAUAGACAACUUGUUGACUAUGAUUUGUCUUGUAGCUUACUCGCUUAUGUUAUUUUACCUACGCUUAGGAUGUUGAUCUACAGAGCGAGAGU